rnacentral:rRNA from 1 species
UACAGAGGGGGCAAGCGUUGUUCGGAAUUACUGGGCGUAAAGCGUGCGCAGGCGGUUCUAUAAGACAGAUGUGAAAUCCCCGGGCUCGACCUGGGAACUGCAUUUGUGACUGUAGAGCUGGAGUGCGGCAGAGGGGGAUGGAAUUCCGCGUGUAGCAGUGAAAUGCGUAGAUAUGCGGAGGAACACCGAUGGCGAAGGCAAUCCCCUGGGCCUGCACUGACGCUCAUGCACGAAAGCGUGGGGAGCAAACAGG